AUACGGAGGGAGCAAGCGUUAUUCGGAAUCACUGGGCGUAAAGGACGCGUAGGCGGGUUUGUAAGUCAGGUGUGAAAUCCUACAGCUCAACUGUAGAACUGCACUUGAAACUACAGACCUAGAGUAUGGAAGGGGCAGAUGGAAUUAGUGGUGUAGGUGUAAAAUCCGUAGAUAUCACUAGGAAUACCGAAAGCGAAGGCGAUCUGCUGGGACAUUACUGACGCUGAGGCGUGAAAGCGUGGGGAGCAAACAGGAUUAGAAACCCUAGUAGUCC
rnacentral:rRNA from 1 species